rnacentral:lncRNA from 1 species
GGUGGCCUAUGGGUCUUAGACAGUGUGGUCUUAUGUGCGAAUCUCGUGUGGUAACCUGAGUUGAGAUAUUGUGGUGCUAUAGCAAGGGAGAAUAUCAAAUUAAUGAUGAAUCAGGAAGGAAAUUAGAUAAAUGGAAUAGCUUGAUAAUAAACCGAAUCGGUAUGGUAAGAGUAUGAUUAUUUCUUGUAUAUGUUUGAGGCAAUGAGCCUUACAGGUAUUGUGCAGUAAAGCUUUUAUGCGUUGGCAGUUUGCUUAUCUUGAUCUGGAUAGAAGGACUCAGUCCUGGCAAUUCAGUUGGUGUAAUGGAAUUGGACAACGAGUUCUUCAUGUGUUUUACCAUGGUUUGAAAAUGAGUAUGUUUCCUAUAGGUAUGUGAAGCAUGGGUUGUGUAAUAAUUUUUCUCCUAUAUGGGAUCAUGAAAGUUCUUGACUAGUUGAGUGCGUUGAUGUACCGCGGUUUGAAAAUGAGUAUAUUCCUAUAGGUACGCGAAGCAUGGAGUGUGGUAAUUUUUCUCCUAUAUAGGAUCAUGAAAGUUUUGGCUAGUUGAGUGCGUUGAUGUCUAUGGCACAUGAGAGAGAUAGAAGUCCUCAUGUUAUCCUAGUGUGAUAUGGUCUAUGUGGUAUGAUAUGGAGAAUUGAUAUUUACGUGUGCAAGGUUUGGUUCAGUUCAUAAUGGGAAAUCAUUAAAGUUCUUGAGUAGCACGGUCAGCUACAGGUGAGUAAAGAACCGAUCAUCACAUGAUUAAGGUGAUGUAAAUUGAUGAUACGUCAGUAGCAUUGCGACAUUUUUCUUGUUGUAUCGACUGCGGAUAUUUGAGGUUGUUGAUGGCGCGGGGAAUUUUGAAUAUUUUUUGUGGUAUGAAUGGAUUCUUGAUGUGUGUUAUGUAUUCGUACGGCAGAGUGUGGGAUCAGGAACAGUGAUUCAUGCGUUAUAUGUGUUGGAGACUGGAAGUUCUCGUAAUCCGACCAUGCGGCGGUUGUGGGUCGCGUGUAUCGACAUUGUCUAGAAAUUAUUGGAAAUUGGAGGUCCGAGUGGAUCUUUCUUUGCUUAGUAUGUUAAAUUUGUGGUUAUGAUAUUAGAUUGCAGACUGGUUGUCCCAAUGUCAGGUUGUCUAGACUAAUGUGUUAUGGGCUAUGUAAGAAAAUGCCACAGGUUGUGUGGUAAGGUACAUCGGAUUAUGUUCUAGCAUGGUAGCUUGUAUUCCAG